CCUACGGGAGGCAGCAGUGGGGAAUAUUGCACAAUGGGGGAAACCCUGAUGCAGCGACGCCGCGUGAGUGAAGAAGUAUUUCGGUAUGUAAAGCUCUAUCAGCCGGGAAGAAAUAAAGUCCUUCGGACUUUGGACGGUACCUGACUAAGAAGCCCCGGCUAACUACGGGCCAGCAGCCGCGGUAAUACGGAGGGGGCAAGCGUUAUCCGGAUUUACUGGGUGUAAAGGGAGCGUAGACGGCAGCGCAAGUCUGGCGUGAAAUCCCAUGGCUUAACCAUGGAACUGCUUUGGAAACUGUGCAGCUUGAGUGCAGGAGAGGUAAGCGGAAUGCCUGGUGUAGCGGUGAAAUGCGUAGAUAUUAGGAGGAACACCAGUGGCGAAGGCAGCCUGCUGGACGACAACUGACGGGGAGGCGCGAAAGCGUGGGGAGCAAACAGGAUUAGAUACCCUAGAAGUC
rnacentral:rRNA from 1 species